rnacentral:rRNA from 1 species
AGAGUUUGAUCAUGGCUCAGAUUGAACGCUAGCGGCAUGCUUAACACAUGCAAGUCGAGCGGCAGCGCGGGGGCAACCCUGGCGGCGAGCGGCGGACGGGGUGAGUAAUGCGUAGGAAUCUGCCUUGUAAUGGGGGGACAACCCGGGGAAACUCGGGCUAAUACCGCAUAAUCUCUAAGGAGGAAAGUAGGGGACCUUCGGGCCUUACGUUACAAGAUGAGCUUGCGUCGGAUUAGCUAGUUGGUGGGGUAAAGGCCUACCAAGGCGACGAUCCGUAGCUGGUCUGAGAGGACGAUCAGCCACACUGGGACUGAGACACGGCCCAGACUCCUACGGGAGGCAGCAGUGGGGAAUAUUGGACAAUGGGGGAAACCCUGAUCCAGCAAUGCCGCGUGUGUGAAGAAGGCCUUCGGGUUGUAAAGCACUUUCAGUGGGGAAGAAAUAAUUCAAGGUUAAUACCCUUGAGUCUUGACAUUACCUACAGAAGAAGCACCGGCAAACUCUGUGCCAGCAGCCGCGGUAAUACAGAGGGUGCGAGCGUUAAUCGGAAUUACUGGGCGUAAAGCGCACGUAGGUGGAUAUGUAAGUCGGAAGUGAAAGCCCUGGGCUUAACCUAGGAAUUGCCUCCGAUACUGCACAUCUAGAGUAUGGUAGAGGGUAGUGGAAUUUCCGGUGUAGCGGUGAAAUGCGUAGAUAUCGGAAGGAACACCAGUGGCGAAAGCGGCUACCUGGACCAAUACUGACACUUAGGUGCGAAAGCGUGGGGAGCAAACAGGAUUAGAUACCCUAGUAGUCC